rnacentral:rRNA from 1 species
GAGUUUGAUCGUGGCUCAGAUUGAACGCUGGCGGCAUGCCUUACACAUGCAAGUCGAACGGCAGCACGGGAGCUUGCUCCUGGUGGCGAGUGGCGAACGGGUGAGUAAUGCAUCGGAACGUAUCCUGGAGUGGGGGAUAACGUAGCGAAAGUUACGCUAAUACCGCAUAUUCUGUGAGCAGGAAAGCGGGGGACCUUCGGGCCUCGCGCUCUUGGAGCGGCCGAUGUCGGAUUAGCUAGUUGGUGAGGUAAAGGCUCACCAAGGCGACGAUCCGUAGCAGGUCUGAGAGGAUGAUCUGCCACACUGGAACUGAGACACGGUCCAGACUCCUACGGGAGGCAGCAGUGGGAUUUGGACAAUGGGGGCAACCCUGAUCCAGCCAUGCCGCGUGAGUGAAGAAGGCCU